AACGAACGCUGGCGGCGCGCCUAACACAUGCAAGUCGAACGAGAAUCCGGGGCAACUCGGUAGUAAAGUGGCAAACGGGUGAGGAAUACAUGGGUAACCUACCCUUGAGAAGGGAAUAACCCGCCGAAAGGUGAGCUAAUACCCUAUACGCUUUGUUCUUCAUGGAAAGCAAAGGAAAGUCAAGCCGAGGGCUUGGCACUCAAGGAGGGGCUCAUGUCCUAUCAGCUUGUUGGUGGGGUAACGGCCUACCAAGGCUACGACGGGUAGCUGGUCUGAGAGGAUGAUCAGCCACACUGGCACUGAGAUACGGGCCAGACUCCUACGGGAGGCAGCAGUGAGGAAUAUUGCGCAAUGGGCGAAAGCCUGACGCAGCGACGCCGCGUGGGGGAUGAAGGUUUUCGGAUUGUAAACCCCUUUUGUGAGGAAAGAUAAAGUGGGUAACCACUUAGACGGUACCUCAAGAAAAAGCCACGGCUAACUUCGUGCCAGCAGCCGCGGUAAUACGAAGGCUCCAAGCGUUGUUCGGAAUUACUGGGCGUAAAGCGAGUGUAGGCGGUCCGUCAAGUCGGUUGUGAAAUCUCCUGGCUCAACUGGGAGGGUGCAAUCGAAACUGGCGGAC
rnacentral:rRNA from 1 species